AGGAAGUUGAGGUUUAGGGUUUCAAACUUUCAAUUUCCAAAUUUUUUAGGUCUUUUUCGUCCCAUUUGGGCGUCUCUAUUCUAAUCACUUUCGGGAGGGAAAAAAUCAAAUUCCCAACUCCCAUCGCCUCUCAAAUUCUCCGAUCCAAUCGAUCAGUUCGAAGCAGAGCUCGACCAUUCUCAAGUUGCGAUAUAUUUUUCUUCUAAGUCAU
rnacentral:misc_RNA from 1 species